rnacentral:piRNA from 1 species
UGCUAUGUGGCCAAGGUGACCUUGAACUUC